CCUACGGGUGGCAGCAGUGAGGAAUAUUGGUCAAUGGGCGCGAGCCUGAACCAGCCAAGUCGCGUGAAGGAUGACUGCCCUACGGGUUGUAAACUUCUUUUAUAAAGGAAUAAAGUGAGGUACGUGUGCCUUAUUGUAUGUUCCAUAUGAAUAAGGAUUGGCUAACUCCGUGCCAGGAUCCGUGGUAAUACGGAGGGUUCGAGCGUUAUCCGGAUUUAUUGGGUUUAAAGGGAGCGUAGGUGGACUGUUAAGUCAGUUGUGAAAGUUUGCGGCUCAACCGUAAAAUGGCAGUUGAAACUGGCAGUCUUGAGUACAGUAGAGGUGGGCGGAAUUCGUGGUGUAGCGGUGAAAUGCUUAGAUAUCACGAAGAACUCCGAUUGCGAAGGCAGUUCACUGGACUGCAACUGACGCUGAGGCUCGAAAGUGUGGGUAUCAAACAGGAUUAGAUACCCCGGUAGUC
rnacentral:rRNA from 1 species